CCAAGAUUUUUGAGUGGCAAGCUAAUCUAGACCCCCAUAAUUUUGUAUAUAUCACUGAGAUUGUUUUCCAACAUGCAUUACUUUGCAUUUAUUAACACUGAAUUUCAUCUGCCAUUUUCUUGCCCAGUCACCCAGUUUUGUGAGAUCCCUUUGUAACUCAUCAGUCAGCUUUAGACU